AAGAAUAAUUCCUAAAACUGUAAAAAUGUUAAUGUGAAUGACUUUAAAAGUCAAUGUUAAAGAAAUCCAGUACAAAAUGCAAAACUAUAUAUAGCCGGCCUCAAAAAUAUUUUGGCAUUUAUAAAUUGACGUUAAAAGGACUGAAAUGGCAGUUUUUUUAUAAAAGUGUAAUAUUUUAUCCGAUUCCUUUUAUUUAAUAAUAUAUCUUAAACAAUUUAAUCCAUUAAAAAUCAUCUUGUGUGAGUAAUCGAUACUGUAUUUUAAUCCUCUAUUAGCCUCUGAUAUACCCUAUCUUUGCCCGAAAUCUUAUACAUAUAAUCUUUUUUGAUAAAAUGGCUGACGAUUUUGUGAAUUUCUAUUGGCUCGGUAACUGUUCUGCAGUUCGCGAAAUAACACAGAUUGUCAUACAGUCAAGUCGUGAAACUUCAGACAUGCCGCACAUUGAAAAGAGAAAGACAUUACUCGAAGGCGGAAUCAUAUUUCCUCGCUCUGUCAUAGCAGAGAUUUUAAACAAAAUACGAUUGUAACGAAGAAGGUCGUUGUUGCGUUGUGAAUAUUUGUAAUCUCUAGUUUAUAUUUUCUACUCCUGCUUCCUUUCGUCAUAGGUUAAUGUUUCACGCCUAAACCUUAUUCGAGAAAUGUGCUUUAAAAUAAUCCGAAUAUUAUAAGAUUAUAAGAUUAAUCCGAAUAUACUGACGCUUUUCGGGAACUUUAUUUUAUACUGAUUAUUCUUACAGAAAUAUGACUAGAAAUAUGGAAUGAUCUGGACCGUAGAAUUAGUAAAACACAAUAAUAAAUAAAAGAAUAAGUAAAGAAAAAUAGUAAAUUCGUAUAAUAGAGGAAUAAAAUACAGUCUCGAUUACUAACGAAACAUAAUCUUCAACAUAUUAAAGUGCUUAAAAUAUGUUAUUAAACAAAAAGAGUCUCGGAUAUAUCAAACUUUUAUAAAAAAAUUAUCAGUUUAGAUUUUUUAACAUCAAUAUAUAAAUUGUUCGAAUAUUUUUGAGACAUAAAGACUCAUUUCUUUUUACAUCAAGUAGAAUAUGAAGUUGUGCUAGUGUCUAAAUGUUUUCGAGACUGACUGUAUGUUCAUAUAUAUACAAUAUGUACCACUACGGUUUACUUACGUGUUACAUUCUUCUACUUAUAUACGUCAAGAUAAAUGUAAAUUAUAAAAUAAAUUCAAUAUUAAUAUGUUAA